rnacentral:rRNA from 1 species
GGACUACAGGGGUAUCUAAUCCCGUUCGCUCCCCUGGCUUUCGCGCUUGAGCGUCAGAAACGAUCCAGGACAUUGCCUUCGCCUUUGGUGUUCUUCCCGAUCUCUACGCAUUUCACUGCUCCACCGGGAGUUCCAUGUCCCUCUUUCGCUCUCGAGUCAUCCAGUCUGGAAAGCAUUUUCCUGGUUAAGCCAGGAGCUGUAACCCUCCACUUAAAUGACCGCCUCCACGCGCUUUACGCCCAAUAAUUCCGGACAACGCUCGCCCUCUACGUCUUACCGCGGCUGCUGGCAC